UUCUUGAGUGUGUACUUGUUAAGCCUUUUAAGAAAAAAGUUAUUAACUUAAGGAAUUAUAACAAAGAAGUAACACGUAAUGGAUCUGUCCAUUUUUAGUGUGUAUCAAUCGAGUUUCUGACCUAUCAGCUUUUGAUGUUAGGGUAUUGGCCUAACAUGGCUAUGACGGGUAACGGGGAAUUAGAGUUCGAUUCCGGAGAGGGAGCCUGAGAAAUAGCUACCACAUCUAAGGAAGGCAGCAGGCGCGUAAAUUACCCAAUUCUAAAGAAGAGAGGUAGUGACAAGAAAUAACAAUACAAGGCCAAUCUGGCUUUGUAAUUGGAAUGAUGGGAAUUUAAAACCUUCCCAAAACUCAAUUGGAGGGCAAGUCUGGUGCCAGCAGCCGCGGUAAUUCCAGCUCCAAUAGCGUAUAUUAAAAUUGUUGCAGUUAAAACGCUCGUAGUUGAAUUUCAAAGAAUCGAUAUUUUAAGUAACGCUUUUAGCUUAAUCCACAUAACUGAUACUACGUAUCGACUUUGUGCGCAUUUUGCUAUUAUGUGUUCUUUUAAUUAAAAUGAUUCUUUUUAAGGUCUUUCUUUUGCUUCGGCAUUUGAAGAUCUUGUUACUUUGAGUAAAUUAGAGUGUUCAAAGCAAACAGAUAUAGCAUUGCGCGUUUGAAUACUACAGCAUGGAAUAACAAAAUUGAACAAGUCAGAAUUUUGUUCUUUUUUCUUAUUUUGGCUUAGUUACGAUUAAUAGGAGUAGCUUGGGGGCAUUUGUAUUCAGAUGUCAGAGGUGAAAUUCUUAGAUUUUCUGGAGACAAACAACUGCGAAAGCAUUUGCCUAAAAUACUUCCAUUAAUCAAGAACGAAAGUUAAGGGAGUGAAGACGAUCAGAUACCGUCGUAAUCUUAACCAUAAACUAUGCCGACUAGGC
rnacentral:rRNA from 1 species